AGAGGAGCCAGGAGGAAGAGGGGCUCGGCCACGCUACAGGGAAGGGGAGGUGAUGAUGAGGAGUGCUGCAGCCUUAUAGAAAGCACUGGCUCUGCUUGGGGCCAUGGGCCAGCUCAGGGCCCCAAGCAGUUGCUUGAUUUGCCUGUCCGGUAGCAACAGGCCUCCUCAUGCAUGCCUGAACUCCUUCACUGUGUUAACCUCUACCACUUAAGCUGGAAGCCUAUUCCAUGAAUCCACUACCCUCUCAGUAAAGUAAUACUUCCCAAUAUUCUUUGUAAACCUUUGCCCCUCUAAUUAACCCCUUAAGGACCAAACUUCUGGAAUAAAAGGGAAUCAUGACGUGUCACACAUGUCAUGUGUCCUUAAGGGGUUAAAGACUAUGUCCUCUUGUUGUGGUAGAUUUCUUCUUUUAAACAGUCUCCUCCUUUGCUGUGUUGAUUCCCUUUAUAUAUUUAAAUGUUUCUAUCAUAUCCCCCAAUCUCGUCUGUCCUCCAAGCUAUACAGGUUUAGAUCCUUUAACCUAUCCUUGUUCGUUUUUGUUCUGCAAUCCAUGAACCAGUUUAGUAGCCCUUCUCUGAACACUCUCCAAAGUAUCACUAUCCUUCUGGAGAUACGGUCUCCAGUACUGUGUACAAUACGCCAAGUGAGGUCACACCAGUGUUCUGUACAAUGGCAUGAGCACUUCCCUCUUUCUCCUGCUGCUCUAUUACAUUGUCUGUCUACCUUUAAAGUGGCACUAUCAUGGCCGAAUCCAGUUGUUUUUUUAACCCCCCCCUCCCGACUCCACUAUGUCUAAUUGUCCCCCUAGUCAUCCCCAAAUGCCCCUAAGCCCCCCAGCCGACCUAUUUUUUCAUCUUUACUUUGUGCCCGGACCAAGGUCCUGAAUGUAACACAGGAACUGCACUCAAACUUCCAACCUUAGAACUA